ACGUUCGCCCAGACGCCCGGCCCAGGAUGCUUGUCUAUCUUAUCCACAUUAUCCGAGCACGACUCCGACGACAACACAACGACACUGAGGCCCGGGCUCAGCUAGGGACGCGGCUCACACCCAGA
rnacentral:sRNA from 1 species